rnacentral:lncRNA from 1 species
GGCAAAGUACACAUAUAAGAUGUGUGUUGAUAGAAACUAAAAAGCACAUCCUUUCUAUGUUCUGACCUGCUAGGUUUUUUUUAAUUCCAGAAAGUUAUUUGAUAACCACAUAACAUCUCAAGAACUAGUUGGGUUUGAAUUUCAGCUCUGCCUUAUAUUAACUCUGGGAUCUUAGGUAAUUUAUUCAACUUUUCCUUACCUCAGUUUCCCAUUUAUAAGAUGAUUAAUAUAUAUGCAGUACUGCUUUGCAUAUAAUAAUAGCUCAGUGAACCACAGAGAUGACCCCCCAAAUAGAUAUUCUAUUCCAUACUUUGUCCUGUUGAGCCAAUUGCUCUACCACAACCACAGCAACAUUUAAAUAUUUUGCGGGAAUCUUAAACACAGCAUGCCCCAAAUCACACUUAUCAUAUUCUGACUGAAAACUGGUUCUUCCAUUGUCUCCAUUUUAUUUUCUGAAUUUGCUAUAAUUCUCCAAUUUAAGCUAAUUGGAAGCUCAAGUUGCUUCCCCAAUUUUGGUACAGUUACCACAUAGCUUUCUUACUCCAUUUUAAGGGUUAAAGGAUUUCAAAUCUGAAAUCUUGCACAGAAUUCUGUCUGCAAAGAAAACUGCACAGAAAAUUUAUAAUGGGAUAUUUGAAGAAAAAAAUAGCUUAUCCUGAACAGCACCAGAAGUUUCAUUUUUUUCUGUACUGUUGUAACUCAGCAGAUAAUGUUUACAUUUGUGUAUAUGUCCUCCAACACAAAUAAGUAUGGUUGCUAAAUAAUAUUAUGUCAUUAAACUUCUUGUUUAAUGCUUCUUCAUUAUGAUUCAUUAUGAUUGUUUAAUGCUUCUUCAUUAUGAUGUGUUAGAAGUUUUUCAAAAGUUUAUACUUUGUCUCUUAGUGGCAAUUAAAAAAGAAAUAAACAUGAACUCCCCAAAUGAGCCACAAAAAUAAAUCAGCAUGUCUAAAUUUCAGAAUGAGAAACAAAGAUGCAAUUCUCUCCUCAGACCAAACGAAGCAGAGAUUUUCAAACUGCAGAGGUGCCACAGAAAAGGCUGAAUUCUCAAGCAUAGUGAGCUUAGACUUUAUAGCUAAAAUAGAAAUUUCAGCUUUUAGAGCUGAAAUAGAAGGUCUGAGCAUUAACAAAACAUUAGAACCUUGCAUUUAAAAAUUAGUAUGAGAAAUUUUUGUUAUUGUGCUGAGACCCUUACACACAUGAUUUCUUCUAGCCAAUACAGGCACAGAUUCAACAAAGAUGGUGCUUUAUUGUGAAAAUAGAAUAUUCACCUUGUCUUCUGACAUCAUAAAGACCACCCACAUUUGCACAGAUGCUGCUGCUAUAGUACUUUCAGGCAAGGCCAAGGCUUCUUGAAAGGCUGGUCAUGCCCCAGUGAUCAAUGAAGAACUCAGGGAUAUCCCAAAACUCAGGACUAUAAGGCACAAUGGGGGAGCAGGUACCAGGUGGCCAGCAUCCUAAAUGACUCUCAGCAGCUGCAGAGAAUGUAAAUAACAAGAGCUGCCUAUAAAUCUACCUCAGAAGACAAAGGGAAAAGCAAAACUCUGCCCAGGAAGACCUUACUUUACAAACCAGCUCAACCAUAUUUACCAGCCUUCCUGUGGUCAUUUGUCUGAGCUCCAGCUAGUGAAGUAUGAGUAGAACGGACAUGCACCACUUCCAGACCUGGCAC